rnacentral:lncRNA from 1 species
GUUGGAGGGAACAGAACAUUAAGAACAAGAUAUGACAUUGAACCUUGAAUCCAUAAGGAAUGAAUCUACGUGGCUGCCUGUUUGAGCAGGAGGGAACGGAUUUCUAUUCCAAAAAUACAGAGGCGUGAGCCUCAAGUCUGCAUCUUCUAAAACAAGCCAUUAAAGCAAACAAAGAAGUUGAUGUUCUAUAAGAUAUAUUUAAUCAGAUGGCUGCUGCCUGCACAUCCACAGAGCAACUCACGUUCAAAUGAAUUUCCGAAUAAGAUAAUGACAGGACUAAGCUUCCUGAUAUCUUGUUGGAGGAGAUCAUCAAGAGACCAUGACCACUGGUUGACCUGCACCUGGAUCUGGAUGAUCAGAGACUCCCCACCCACAUCUCAUCCUUGGAACCCACGUUCUACCCCCUGUCCCAUGGUGGGAGCCAUUUUCAAGGGCAUGGCCUUGAGCGAGCAAUGUGUUGUUAGAGCCAUCUGGACAGUGUAUGGAACUGAUGGUUCACAUUGAGGCCUCUAUAUAGACUUUAUAUAAACUAUACAAACCUCGGUAUAAAGAUUCCCACAGCCUUGUAAAUUAACUAUACUUCAAUAAGACUUACAAAAUUAAAAACAGGAAAAAAAAUAUUUGUUAGGACUUCCCAUUGCAGCUCAGCAGGUUAAGAACCUGACCCUGACUUAGUGUCCAUGAGGAUGCAGGUUUGAUCCUUUGCCGUGCCCAUUGAG